GGGUGUUCAAAAUCAGGCAAUCAGCUGAACAGGGUGAAGAUUGGAACAAAUGGGACGCACUUCACCAUUGAUCUAUUGUGAUUCCUUUUCCCCUUUAAUAACGUGUACGUAUAGGGUAGUCAAGCACCACAGGAUAUCAGCUUUUUUUGUGGAUGAGAGUGGGAUGAUCAAUCGGAUUGCCGGGGUAGUACAACAUUGAGUCAUUGGCAGUUGGGCUCAACAAGGACAAGGCGCUGUUCACCAUAGGGGUAUUAGGAACAGAGAAAAUACUCACACAAGGCAUGGAGCAGCUACAAACUUGUUAAUGUUAUACCGCGAGCAGCUUCCCUUGCGCCGUCAUCCAUCCACCAACAAGCCCAUGACCAUGCAUCAGUGUUGUCUUCAGAAUUAUAGACACCUCAUUCUAUAAGGAGGCCGCCACCAAGAAGAGCGAGGUUGUGUCAAUGGACUCAGCGACAAGUUGUAGAAAGAAACAAGGCUUAUGUUAGGCAAAGUUGAUUAGGUUGUACUACACACCGCGUGCCUCCAUAAGAAUCUAGAUAAAAUGCCAUAAAAGACUGUUCUAGAUAAGAUGAUGGCUAUCAAUGUGAGCGACUGAGCUUUUAUGUCCAGAAAAUGCUCACUAAUAAAAUCUGGAAUGUCUUAUGUUUCUCAUCUUUUCUCUUCAUUUGUAUGGUUAAAGUUUGGCUUCAAACCAACAAAUAGUUAAUAUUAAAUUAAGUUAUUUUCCCGCUCCCCUCUUCAGUUGGCAAACCCAUCAAGGAAUUGUUGUAAUGAAUAUAUUUUAUAUGGUUACAUCCACAAGAGGAAGAGAUCUUAAAUGCUAUAGCAUACG